GCUAACUACGUGCCAGCAGCCGCGGUAAUACGUAGGGGGCAAGCGUUGUCCGGAUUUAUUGGGCGUAAAGAGCUCGUAGGCGGUUCCGUAAGUUGAGAGUCAAAUCUCUGGGCUCAACCCAGAGCCGCUCUCAAUACUGCGGUGACUCGAGUCCGGUAGAGGAGUGUGGAAUUCCUGGUGUAGCGGUGAAAUGCGCAGAUAUCAGGAGGAACACCAACGGCGAAGGCAGCACUCUGGGCCGGUACUGACGCUGAGGAGCGAAAGCGUGGGGAGCGAACAGGAUUAGAUACCCUAGUAGUC
rnacentral:rRNA from 1 species